rnacentral:snoRNA from 1 species
AUGCUUUCUGAAUCGAGGCCAGCAGUUUGCAGAAGCUGUUGGUUUCAAACAGGAGCCUAAAGAAUUAUCUUUCUAGGGUCUGUUGGCCAUUUCAGAACUUUUGGAAAUGUAAUGGUCAAUUCCUUAGAAAGAAACAUCU